rnacentral:lncRNA from 1 species
AUACCUAUAUACGACAUGACAUUCAUACGCAUAUGCAUGACACUAUAAGUAUUUUAUGAUUUACAAAGUUUUCCAGACUUACAGGUUGAGUCAAUUACUCUAUAUUUCUUCCAUGUCUGUUAUGUACUUAUUUAUAUGCCUUACAUACUCGGUACAUUAUUCGUACUGACAUCCCUUUUGCUUGGGGACGCUGCGUUGCAUGCCUGCAGGUCCCGAUAGACAGGCCGAAAGCCCUCCAAGUAGGCUAUCAACUCAGCGGAAGAUGUUGAUGCACUCCAUUUGCUUCAGAGUUGCUUGUUUGGUUAGUAUGAUUUAGAUGUGUAUUGUUUGGUCUGGCGGAACUCUGUCCCGACCUUUAUGAAAACGAUAUAUUCUUAGAGGCUUGUAGAUAGAUGUCAUAUACGUAGAAGAUUGUAUGGCCUUGUCAGCCUAUGUUCAGUGUUCAAGUGGUUAUUUUAGUCUUAGAGGCCCAUAUGUCUUAUGUAUAUGUCGACAUUACUUGUUGUAUUCUACCUAUUUAACGACAACCUCUCCGACUAAGUUAAUUAUGAUAUUAUGACAUGAAAAGAUAUGUUCUGUUGGUACUCGGUUGAGUAAGAUACCGGGUUCCCGUCGCGGUCCAUCGGUUUGGGUCGUGACAAGUAGUUUAUGUUGGACACAUGCCCAUGUUGUCCAGCAAAAGACGCAAUGGCCUAAUCCUAUUUUCUUUUGGUUUUCAUUCCUAUUCGGAAUUGGAUUCAGUGUUUAUUCCUAUAUUGAGUGGGUUUUGUCUUUAAGAGAAAACACCACUCAUGAUCUAUAAAUAGGACAACCUUGGAGGAUUGUUCUAUGCUCAUUGAUAUAAUUCUUUGAAAGACUUAAGCAUAUAAGAGUGGUUUUUGAGAGAGCUUUCAUCAAAAGAGAAGAGAGAAGAAAAGUAUUUGUUUUUUCUGCAGAUUUUUAUUCCGACCAAACAAACUUCAAAUCACGUUUUCCGAUUCGUUAACCGUUGGAUCGAGAUGAUAGUUUGAUUGAGUGUUUGUAACGUCUUGAACCUUGACUUGAACAGUGGAGAUCGAAUUUGGAGGCACGUAGCAUCUAAUUGCGAGCCUCGAAUAACAACUUCAUUUUUGUAGAUUCUCCUCUUUAUUCAAUUGAUUAGUUGUUGCUCUUGUUGCUAUUAUUGCUCCGUAUUUGGCACUUGUUCUGUAGCCAAUUUGGAGAACUUUUGUAACUCUCUUAUUGUUAUAGUGGAGUUUUUGGAUCUUUGUGAUCCUGUGAUUUUUACCUUCGAUUCGAAGGGUUUUUCACGUUAAAAUUUGAUGUUCUUUAUCUUCUUUAUUUUUUGGGUUUUCCUCUUUCGCGACAUAUCAAUGGUAUCAAAGACUUGGUUAUUUAUCUGGGUUGUUACAGAGUGGAGGUGAAUAUGAGCAAGAUGGUAUGUUUAAAUGGGAACAAUUAUAUUAUUGGGAGAAACAAUAUUGUUCGAGAUGACCUUCUUUUUACUUAUGAUGAAAACGUUAUCAAUUUGGUAUUCCAUGAGACGAGCUGGAUAGUAGAUUCUGGAGCUAUCUUGCAUGUCACACCAAGAAAAAACUUUUUCUCAUCUUAUACUCCUGUUAAUUCUGGAGUGUUAAAGAUGGGCAAUGCCAGUGAAGUUAAGGUGUUCGGUGUUGGCACAGUUUGUUUGAAAACUAAUAAUAGUUCAAUGUUAGUUCUUCAAGAUGUCAAGCAUGCUCCAGACUUCCCUUUCAAUUUGAUCUCUGCUGGUAGAUUAAACGAUGAAGGUUACCAUAAUUCCCUUUUUAACGGCCAAUGGAAGCCCACCAAGGGCUCGUUAGUAGUGGCUCGAUGAGCCAAGUCUGAUCAUUUAUAUGUGACACAGGGCUCUAUUCUUAAUGACUCCAUAAAUCUAGUGUAAAGUGACACUUUAUCAAAAUUGUGGCACAUAAGAUUGAGUCAUAUGAGCGAGAGGGGGAUUACGUGUUUGGAUAAGAAAAGUUUGCUUUCUGGAGUAAAAUAAGCAAAUCUGAAAAGGUGCAUCCAUUGUUUAGCUGGCAAAUAGAAAAGAGUUUCCUUUCAUAGCCAUCCUCCCUUAAGAAAUCCCGAUUUAUUGGAGCCCGUACACUCUGAUUUGUGUGGUCCUUUUAAAGUAAAGUCAAAAGGUGGUGCACUUUACUUUGUGACCUUCAUUGAUGAUCAUUCUCGUAAACUCUGGGUGUAUCCUUUGAAAUCUAAAGAUCAAGCACUUGGCGUGUUUAAGGAAUUUCAGGCCUUAGCUAAAAGACAAACGGGGAAGAAAUUAAAAUGUAUUCGCACUGAAAAUGAUGGUUAAUAUUGUCGUCCCUUUGAUAACAAUUGCAAGGGACAAAGAAUUCGUCAUCAGAAAACUCCACCCAAGACACCUCAAUUGAAUGGUUUGACAGGGAGGAUGAAUAUAACUCUAGUUGAGAGAGUUAGAUGCAUGCUUUUGGAGGCUAAACUUCCAAAUACAUUUUGGGCGGAAUCACUUAACACUGUUGCCUAUGUUAUCAAUUUGUCUCCCGCUGUUGCUUUGGAUGGUAAUGUUCCAGACAGAGUUUGUUUUGCCAAAGAUGUUUCUUAUGAUCACCUGAGUGUUUUUGUGUGUAAAGCUUGUGUGCACGUUCCUAAAGAUGAGAGAUCAAAACUAGAUGUCAAAACUAAGCAGUGCAUCUUUAUCGAUUAUGGUCAAGAUGAGUUUGGUUAUGGUUUUUACGAUCCAGUUGACAAUAAACUUAUUAUAAGUCGUGAUGCAAGAUUCUUUGAAGACCAGACUAUUGAAGAUGUUGACAAAGUUGAGAAGACAGAUUCUCAGAAUAAUUAGAGCUUAGUUGAUAUUGAUCCAGUUUCUAUUACUAAGGCACUUAUUGCACAUGAAAGAACCCAAGACAAUAAUGAAGAUAUUGAUCAAGAUCAAAAUGAUCAUCACGGUAUAGAUGUUAUGGAUGCUCCAGUUGAUGAAGUUGUGGUUUAUCAACAACCAAUUACUGCUUAGGUAACUACCUCUCUUAGAAGAUCUACAAGGGAGAAGCAAAAAUCCAUGCACUAUCCUCCUGAUGAGUACGCACUUUUGACUGACAUGGGAGAACCUGAGAACUAUGAUAAAGCCAUGCAAGAUACUCACAAAGAUCAGUGGGUAGAAGGUAUGGAAUAUGAGAUGAAGUCACUCCAUGAGAAUGACACAUAUCAGUUAGUGAAAUUGCCGAAAAGCAAGAGAGCUUUAUCUAACAAAUAGAUAUUCAGAAUAAAGCAAGAUAACCAUACCUCUGCGCCUAGGUACAAGCCGAGGAUAGUUGUUAAAGGUUUUGGCCCAUAAGAAGGGAGUUGACUUUGAUAAAAUUUUCUCCCCUGUUCUGAAGAUGUCUUCUAUUUGUGUGGUUCUAGGCUUGGCCACAUAAGUCUAGAUUUAGAGGUUGAGCAGAUGGAUGUCAAGAUUGCUUUUCUUCAUGGUGAUUUGGAUGAGGAUAUUUAUAUGGAGCAGCCUGAGGACUUUGUAGUUAAGCUUGCAGAUAAGCAUGUGUUUUGCAGAAAAUUGGCAGGCAUGAAGCAUGUCAAUAGUUCCUCUACUUGAAGACACAUUUAGCCUCUUGGCUGGAGGGGGAGUUUGUUGGGCACAUGCCCAUGUUGUCCAGCCAAAGGCCAAAUGGACUAAUCCUAUUUUUUUUUGAUUUUCAUUCCUAUUCGGAAUCAGAUUCAGUAUUUAUUCCUAUUUUGAGUGAGUUUUGGCUUUAAGAGAAGCAUCACUCAUGAUCUAUAAAUAGGAUAAUCUUGGAGAAUUGUUCUAUGCUUAUUGAUAUAAGUAUUUAAAAGAGUUAAGCACAUAAGAAUGAUUUUUGAGAGAGCUUUCAUCAAUAGAGAAGAGAGAAGAAAAGUAUUUGUUUUGCUGCAUAUUUUUAUUCUGACCAGCCAAUUUCAAAUUAUGUUUCCAAUUCGUUAACCGUUGGAUCGGGCUGAUAUUUUGAUUGAGUGUUUGUAACAUCUUUGUCUUUGAUUUGAACGGUGAAGAUCAGAUUUGGAGGCCCAUAACAUCUGAUUUCGAGCCUCGAACAACAUUUUUAUUUUGUGGAUUCUUCUCUUUCUUCAACUGAUUAGUUGUUGCUCUUGCUAUUGUUGCUCCAUAUUUGAAACUUGUUGUGUAGCCAAUUUGGAGAACUUUUGUAACCCUCUUAUUGUUAUAAUGGAGUUUUUGGAUCUUUGUGAUCCCGUGGUUUUUACCUUCGAUUUGAAGGGUUUUCCACAUUAAAAUUUGGUGUUCUUUAUCUUCUUUAUUUUCGGGUUUGCCUCUUCCGCAACAUAACAAUUUAUAAAUGGGGUAAAAAAAUUCGCAGCUGAUUAAGAGCCCGUUUGGACAUAAGAAUUUUUUUUUACUUUUUUUACGAAAUCAGCGUUUGUUCAUAAAAUUUCUAAUCUUUCACUUGAAGAUGCAUUUUGAAAAUUUGAAACAUUCUAAAAACCUGUUUUUCAAAAUUUUCACUUAAAUCACUCACAAAAUUUUAAGGCAACCCAAAAUUAUAUUCAUGUCCAAACACAACUCAAAAUUUCAAAUAUCAUUUUCACUUGAAUUCUUUUUUCACCCUUUUUGAAAUUUUACGAUUCUUAUGUCCAAACGCCCACUAAAACAGCCUCUUGAGAGGGACCACUCAGAGCUAGGAGUAGGAACCGGUUUGCGAAAGGGUAUAAUUUCUACAUAUUAUUAUCAGUACAGAAGAAUUUUUGUACUAGCAUGUCUUUCUAAAGUUAAUUAUAGGUACACACAUACUCAUAACUAGUGCAGUGAAUUACUUGACAAAUAAGUUAAUUAACCGUCUAAAGAAAAUUAAAUUAACCUUGUGAAUAUAUCAUACUCCAUCGUCUCAAUUUAUAUAAAGCUAUUUGAUUCGGCAUGAAAUUUAUAAAAAAAAGAAGACUCUUGAAACUUGUGAUCUAAAAAAUUUUAUAGAUAUUUGUAUAAAUAUUUGUGUUGAUAAUUUGUGGGGCUGUAAAAAUUCUAAAAAUAAAUUAUUUCUAAAUAAGGAAAGAUAACAUUCAUUUGGGAAGAAGUGACUCAAAAGGAAACAAUGCGACAUAAAUUGAUACAAAGGGAGGACUAAUAUUUUUCAAACAAAACAAUUUUUGAGUUGAUAAAAUUGCUUCAACCAUGUGAUUGUAACCACCAAAGAAUCCAAGAAGGAAGAGUCAUCCUAUACUGUUAUACCUCUCAAUAAUAAUACUCUUAUAUAACAACACUUCACUAUAAAAGUUAAAUUUUUUUCGGAAUCAAUUUUUAUGUUAUUUAUAACAGCAUUUCGCUAUAACAUUCAAAUAUAUUCAGAGCAAACAGAGCUGUUAUAGAGAAAUUGUAGUGUACUUGACUAACAGUCAUAUCGAGUCCUUGGAAAUGCAUUGCUUUUAUGAUUUUCUUUUCAAUUUUGACACAAAAAUACAAGUCUGAUCAGCUUACUGCCGCUGAUCAAGCAUACAGAGGUCCGCUUCUUAAUGUAAUACAAAUACGUAGUAUAAUUAAUUGAGGUCACGAAAAAAAGGACUAGCCAUUCACUUUUUUUUUUUUUUUUUUUAUUUUUUUUUUUGUGCUUUAACUUGUUGAAUGGGUAUCUUGCAAGGGUCAUAGACAGAGCUGUCUAUGGCAGUUACAAUGCUGAUUGAUGAUUUGAAAAUAACUCUUUUGGCUUAAUUUCAUGGUUACUCAUUUAACUUUUAUUUUAUUUUAUUUUAUUGCAUUAAAAUUACUAAAUAAUUUAUUUUGUAGUAAAAAAAUCACUCAAUUUUGCUCAAGUAUCACAAAAAGUGAGGACAUAUUUUAAGCAAAAUUGAGUAACUUUUUGGACGCAGAAUAUUAUUUAGUGAUUUCUUGCGAUACUAUAAGAAAUAGUUUAGUGAGUUUUGGUACAAUGAAGUUACAAUUGACUUACCAUCCGUAAAAUACAAAAAUUACCUCUAACUCUUUUACUAGAGUUGCUUUCAAACGUACAAGGUCCCCGCAUUGCAUACUCUUAUACAUUUGCUUCAAUAAAGUUGUCUUCAUGUUGUCACUACUCGGAAAAAAAUAGUUAAACAAGUACUUUUUGAUACUUCCUGUUGGGUUCUACCGGUGGCCAAGCCACAUGGUCACAACGUAGUGCACUGACCAUUCUUCAUCGAAAAAUUACAUUGUGUACAGAGAUGGAUCCAGAAUUUUAAAGUUAUGUGUUCCUACACAAAUCUUAAGUUAAUAUACAAUAAUAACUGGAUUGACGGACUGAGUUCCAAGCUAAAUAUUCUUAUAUAUUUAAUGAAUUUUUUAAUACAAAUACCAGAUCUAGACAAAAGUUGGUCGGUUCACGGGAGCCCGUAUCUAACACACUGGAUCCGCCCCUGACUGUGUAUGUCACGAUCCAAAUUCCAUAUUAGGCCGUGAUGGUGCCCAACACCGUUAUUAGGCAAGCCAACACUGAUCAUAUAGUAAAUCCUCAUUUAUGUAGUUAGUACGCGAUAACUUCCAUUAUAAAUUUAAGAAAUUUAUAGUUUUAAAAGCUAACACAUCAUUUAAGUGAAAGCAACAAAUGCGAAUCUCAAUCAUGAAGACAAGCCAACACAUCAUAAUUCUACUAAUGUGUGUGCCAAGACCUGAUGUCACAAGCGUGUGGGCAAUCUAGUAGAAUAUACAAAACCAUACUAUCCUACUGUUUGGAAAAGAAAUAGACAGGAACAUAAAGACAAAAGAGAGACUCCAGCUGCUAUAGAUCGGAUGGGAAGGGCAGCUCACCGGAUAGUCCCGAGCUGAGAUGACCACUCUAUGCGCCGGACUGAUGGCCAGAUGCACCUGCCUCAAAGCCUAUACAAUCAAGUACAAAAGCGUAGCAUGAGUACAUAGAAAUAUGUACCCAGUAAGUAUCUCGCCUAACCUGACAGAAGUAGUGACGAGGGGUCAACUUCGACACUAAUAAGGCCAGCAAAUAUAAUAAUAUGAAGUUCAACAUAUUUAAUUCGCAGUGUAUAUUGAUAACAACAAGCUCAAACAAGAAUAAUUAUUGGGAAUCCUUUCAUCCAAUUGAUAAAACUAAGUACUUUCCUCAUUUAAAUUAGUGACCUUUCCAGCAAUAAGUCAUACAAAUUAUAAGGGUUACGAUUCUAUUAUCACACGCAAAUACCACCGAGGACGGUCAACCCGAUCCAACAUAAAAGUAAAAUGUGCACUGCCGAAGGUCGAACGGCACGAGCCAUAGAUGCAUCUAUUCACCCCACUCGCGAAUCAUUCAUGCGACGCGGUAAAAGCAUAACCCCACUCAUGAAUCAUACGUGCGACGUAGUAAACAUAAUUUUCAUCAUUUAAACACAACAAUUCUUUAAUUCCCUUUUUAGAAAAAUAAAAAGAAUACAAUUUACUUGAAGCCUGUCAAUCUUUAGAUUUCCUUCAACUUAGUUCCUCCCAUACCAUUAGCAUAUAUAAGCAAUUAGUAGCGACCAUGAAGUAUGAUGUGAUCCUAGAACUACUCGGACAUAAUAGGAAUAGUAGCUACAUACGGACUCGCGUCACCUCGUGCGCUUGUAGCCCUCCACAAUUUAUCAUACAUUAAUUAAGUUCACCUAUGGGGACAUUUUCCCCUACAAAGUUAGAAAAGAGACUUACCUCGUUUUGAGCCUACUUCCAACUCAAGAAUGCAAGCAAACUCUCAAACCGGAGCUGCACAGUCCGAAACUAUCCAAAUAGUGUAAGAGUCCAUUAUUACAGGCUUACAAGUUCGUAUCUAGCUAUUAAAGCGAUUAUCCAACCCCAAGGGCAAGGUUCCUAAAAUUCAACCCCGGGCCCACGUGCCCGGAUUCCAGAAAUAUUUAAAGAAAGUUGUUACCCAUAACCUAAGGAUCAAGAAUAAAUGAUUUUUACUUCAUUCCAUAACAAAUUUCGUGGUUAGAUAUUGUUUUUAUCAAAACCCUAAGUUUUACUCUAAUACCAUAAUUUUCACUAAUAUUUAUGUGUUAAUCUACUCAAAACCCAAGUAUUAAACUCACAUUAAGUGGAAAUAACUUACCUCACAAUGCUAGGUUGAAAUCCCUUCUUUGGAAGCUCCCAAAUCGCCCAAGUGUAGAAGUGAUAUGAAAUAAAUGGUCUAAGUCCCAUUUUUAAAAGCUGUGCCCAGGACUCUGAUGUCGCAUUGGUUCGCAAAUGCGAAGGUCGCAAUUGAGACAAAACCAUCGCAAAUGCGAACCUGGGCUCUCUCUGCAAGGGUCGCAAAUGCGACAAAAGGGUCGCAAAUGCGGACCUUGUUGGGUUUGUAAAUGCAAAAGAAAUGUCGCAAAUGUGAGGACUGCCUAGCUCAGGCUUCUUCGCAAAUACGAAGCCUUCUCGCAAAUGCGGUCAUCGCAAAUGCGAACAAAUCCUCGCAUUUGCAAGACCUGCAACACUUUCCCAGAAAUACCAGAAAACUAGAGUGUUUUCACUCCCAACACACGUCCGAAACUCACACGAGCCCUCGGGGCUCCAUACCGAAUACUCACUCAAGUCUAACAACAUCAUACAAACUUGCUCGUGCGAUCAAAUCGCUGAAAUAACAUCUUAAACUACGGAUUUAACACCAAAACACAUGAAAUCCUUAAGAACAUUUGAAAUUCCUAUUUUUACAACUGGACGUCCAAAUCACGUCAAAUCAAUCCCGUUUCUCACCAAAUUUCAUAGACAUGACUAAAUGUUAUAUUGGACCUGUACCGAGCUCCAAAACCAACAUACAGGCCCGAUACCGACAUGAUCAAACAUUAUUCAAUUUCUUUAAAUCCUGAGAUUUUCAGUUUAACAAUUUUUAACAAAAAUUCAUUACUCGGGCUAGGGAUCUCAGAAUUUGAUUCCGGGCAUACACCCAAGUUCCAUAUUUUACUACGGACCCUCAAGGACCGUCAAAACACGAGUCCGGGUUUGUUCACUAAAAAUAUUGACCGAAGUUAACUAAAAUCACUAUUGAAGGCCAAAAUUAUUAUUUUCUUAAAUUUUUCGCACAAAGGCUUUCCGAAAACGCGCCCAGACUGCGCACACAGAUCGAGAAAAAGUAGGAUGAGGUUUUGAAGACCUUGAAACCCCGAAUUGGGUUCUAAAACACGAGAUGACCCUUUAGGUCAUCACAUUCUCCACCUCUAAAAUAACCGUUUGUCCUCGAACGGACAUAGAAAAGUACCUGAGCUAGGGAAAAGAUGGGGAUAUCUGCUCCGCAUGUCCUCCUCGGACUCCCAGGUCGCCUCCUCGAUUGGUUGGCCCCUCCACUGGACCCUUACCACAGAAAUCCUCUUGGAUCUCAACUGGCGAUCCUGUCUAUCAACAAUGGCAACUGGAUCCUCCUCAUAACCCAAACCCUCAUCUAGCUGAAUAGUACUGAAGUCUAACACAUGGGAUUAGUCGGCGUGAUACCUCCGAAGCAUAGACACGUGAAAAACUGGAUGAACUCCUAAUAGGAUGGGAGAUAAAGCAAGCUCAUAAGCAACCUCUCCAACUCGUCUCAACACCUUAAAUAGGCCUAUAAACCUUGGGCUCAACUUUCCCUUCUUCCCGAAUCUCAUAAUACCCUUCAUCGGUGAGACUUUCAAGAGAAACUUCUCGCCGACCAUGAAUUAUACAUCACGCGCCUUCUGAUCCGCGUAACUCUUCUAUCUGGACUGAGCUGUGCGAAGUCUUUCCUGAAUCAACUUUACCUUCUCUAAGGCAUCUUUCACCAAGUCUAUACCAUACAACUUAGCCUCGCUAGGCUAAAACAACCCAAUAGGAGAACGACAUCGCCGACCAUAUAAAGCUUCAAAUGGAGCCAUCUCGAUGCUGGACUGAUAACUGUUGGUGUAAGCAAAUUCGGCCAAAGCAAGAACUGAUCCCACUGCCCUCCAAAGUCAAUUACACAUGCUUUAAGCAUUUCCUCCAAAAUCUGAACUGUCCGCUCUGACUGCCCGUUGGUCUGCGGGUGGAAUGUUGUGCUGAGCUCUACCUGGGUCUCCAACUCACUCUACACAGCUCUCCAAAAAUAGGAAUUGAACUGAGUGCCUCUAUCUGAUAUGAUGGAAAAAAGCACACCGUACAACCGAACUAUCUCCCGAAUGUAUAUUUGAGCCAACCUCUCUAAAGUAUAAGUAGUCAUAACCGGAAUGAAGUGUGCCGACUUGGUCAACCUGUCAAUAAUGACCCAAACACCAUCAUACUUCUGCAAUGUCCACGACAACCUAACUACGAAGUCUAUGGUAAUGCGAUCCCACUUCUACUCAGGUAUAGGCAUCCGCUGAAGUAGGCCACUUGGCCUCUAGUGCUCAUACUUAACCUGCUGGAAAUUCAAACACCAAACCACAUACUCAACUAUGUCUUUAUUCAUCUGCCACCACCAAUAAUGCUGCUUUAGGUCACGAUACAUCUUCGUUGCACCUGGAUGAAUGGAAUAUUGUGAACUGUGUGCCUCCUCUAGAAUCCUCUCCCUCAAGCCAUCGACAUUAGGAAUACAUAGGCGACCCUAGAGUCGUAGAACACCAUCCUCGCCAAGAGAAACCUCCUUGUCAUUACCCUGUAGCACCGUCUCUCUGAGAACUGCCAAAUGCGGAUCAUCGAACUGCCGAGCCUUGAUCUGCCCCAAUAAUGAAGACAGACCAACAACACACGCAAGGAUUCGACUGGGCUCUAAAAUAUCCAACCUCACAAGUCUGUUCCAAGUACUGAAUGUCCAAAGCUUGUGGCUUCUCCUCCGCUGAAAUGAAUGCCAAGCUAUCCAUACUCUUUUCCUUCUUACUCAAGGCAUCCGCGACCACAUUUGCCUUGCCCGGAUGAUAAAGAAUGGUGAUGUCAUAAUUCUUUAGUAACUCAAGCCAUCUACGCUGCCUCAAAUUGAGUUCCCUCUACUUAAACAAAUGCUGUAAGCUGUGAUGAUCAGUAUAAACCUCACACGACACCCCAUACAGAUAAUGACUCCAUAUCUUAAGAGCAUGAACAAUCGCUGCUAACUCUAGGUCGUGAACAGGGUAAUUUUUCUCAUGAAUCUUCAGCUAACGUGAAGCAUAUGUAAUAACUCUCCCCUCCUGAAUCAAUAAAAAUCCCAAGCCAACGUGUGAAAUGUCGCAAUAUACCGUAUACAUCCCCGAAUCGGAAGGCAACACUAGAACCGAUGCUGUAGUCAAAGCUGUCUUGAGCUUCUGAAAGCUCGUCUCACAAUCAUCGGACCAACGGAAAAGAACACCCUUCCGGGUCAAUCUAGUCAAAGGUACUGCAAUGGAUGAAAAGGCCUGCACGAAUCGGUGAUAAUAACCUGCUAACCCCAGGAAACUCCUGAUCUCAGUCACUAAAAUAGGACGUGGCCAAGUAUAAACUGCCUCAAUCUUCUUGGGAUCCACCUUAAUACCCCCUCCUAAUACAACAUGUCCCAAGAAUGCUACUGACUCAAGCCAAAACUCACACUUGGAGAACUUAGCAUAUAACUUCUGCUCUCGCAGUGUCUGAAGCACUACUCUCAAAUGAUGCUCGUGCUCCUCCAGGCUACGUGAGUAGAUCAAGAUGUUGUCAAUGAAGAUAAUAACAAAGGAAUCAAUGCAAAGCCUGAACACCCUAUUCAUUAAGUCCAUAAACGGCGUUGGGGCAUUAGUCAAGCCAAAGGAUAUCACUAGAAUCUCAUAAUGGCCAUAUCUAGUGUGGAAAACAGUGUUCGAAACAUCUGAGUCCCGAAUCUUCAACUGAUGAUACCCUGAUCUCAAGUCAAUCUUAGAGAACACCCUAGCACCCUGCAACUAGUCGAACAAAUCAUUAAUACGUGACAACACGUACUUGUUCUUAAUGGUAACCUUGUUCAACUGGCGGUAAUCAAUUCACAUCCACAUGGUCUCAUCGUUCUUCUUUAGAAAUAACAGUGAUGCAGCCCAAGGUGACACACUCGGUCUAACAAACCCCUUUGCUGACAACUCCUCAAGUUGCUCCUUCAACUCCUUCAACUCUUUUGGAGCCAUACGGUACAGUGGGAUAUAUAUAGGUUGGGUACCUGGAGCCAAAUCAAUACAGAAAUCAAUGUCAUGAGCCGGUGGCAUGCCUGGAAGGUCAAAAGGAACACAUUUGUGAACUCUUGGACUACUGACACUGAAUCAAUCAUUGGAGACUCUGCGAUGGUGUCCCGAACAUAUGAUAGAUAUGCCAAACAACCCUUCUCGACUAGAUGUCGAGCCUUCAGAAAAGAGAUAACCCGACUGGAUGCACUAACGGAGGAACCUUCCACUCCAAUCUCGGCAACUCUAGCAUCGCUAAAGUAACAGUCUUGGCAUGACAAUCAAGAAUGGUGUGAUAUGGGGAUAACCAAUCCAUGCCUAGGAUGACCUCAAAGUCAGUCAUAUCAAGUAACAAAAGGUCUGCUCUAGACUCGAAACCAUAUAAUGUAACCACACAGGAUCGGUACAUUCGAUCUACGACCACAAAAUCACCCACAGGAGUGAACACAUAAACAGAAGUAUCCAAAGACUCACAAGGAAUGUCCAAGAAAUGAGCAAACAAAGAUGACACAUAUGAAUAUGUAGACCCUGGAUCAAAUAAUACCGAAACAUCCCUACCACAUAUAGAAAUAAUACAUGUGAUCACAACAUCUGAGGUUACUACAUCUGGUCUAGCCGGAAAAGCAUAUAAUCUAGUUAGAGCGUCAGCUGGCUGAACAGUAGCUAGCUAAAAUCCCCUUUCCUGGCCUUCACCUCUAGCAUAUCCCCUACCAACCUGUCCCCCACCUCUGGGUAGCUGGUACUGAAAUCAUAGGAUGAUGGCCCUGUUGUACUGCCUUGCCCCGAAGUCUAGGGCAUGUCCUCUUUAUGUGACCAGAUCUCUACACUCGUAACAACCCUGUGGUGCCAUAGACUGCUGUCCUGAAGCCCGACCCUGAUGGAUCGAAUAUCCACUAGAAGAACCCUGAUGUCCAGAAUACCCGUUAGAGGAACCUUGAAUAGCUGGUGGGCAGUAAGAACUCUCCGGUAUCACACUGAAAUAAGGCCUCACUAGAGCACCUCGAGGAGAUGGUUAUGGUACUGAAUAUAGGGGCCUGUUGGGCUGGACCCUCUCAAAUUGACCUCUAACCCUAGCUGGGGCACCUCUAAACUCUCCAGAGAAUCGAUCCCUCUUGUCCUGUUGCAACUGCUCUCUGCUCCUAUGGCGGUAACCCUCAGUCCUCUGCAUAAUCUCUACCACGAGCUGAUACUCAGUCCCCAUCUCAACCUCUUAGGCCAUACUAGCUCGAAUACUAGGGUGUAACCCUGUGACAAAUCUCCGCAGUCUCUCUGCGUCCGUAGGGAGUAUCAUGAGUGCAUGGCGAGACAAGUCAGAAAAUCUCGCCUCAUAGUCGGUCACAGACAUCUGCCCCUGCUCGAGGAAAAAUAUAGACGUCUCUGUAUCGAACCGCAAGACUCUAUUACAUUUUCCCAUAACUUGUGAGACCUACGUGAACCUAGUGCUCUAAUACCACGUUGUCACGACCCAAAUUCCAUAUUAGGACGUGAUGGCACCCAACACCGUUGUUAGGCAAGCCAACACUGAUCAUAUAGUAAAUCCUCAUUUAUGUAGUUAGUACGCGAUAACUUCCAUCAUAGAUUUAAGAAAUUCAUAGUUUUAAAAUCUUAAGCUUAUUUAAGUGAAAGGAAUAAAUGCGAAUCUCAAUCAUGAAGACAAGCCAAAACAUCAUAAUUCUACUAAUGUUUGUGCCAAGACCUGGUGUCAAAAGCGUAUGAGCAAUCUAGUAGAAUAUACAAAACCAUACUAUCCUAUUGUCUGGAAAAGAAAUAGACAAGAAUAUAAAGACAAAAGAGAGACUCUAGCUGCUGUAGAUCGGCUGGGAAGGGCAGCUCACCAGAAAGUCUCGAGCUAAGAUGACCACUCUAUGCGCUGGACAUGGCCAGAUGCACCUGCCUCAAAGCCUGUACAAUCAAGUACAAAAGCGUAGUAUGAGUACAUAAAAAUAUGUACCAGUAAGUAUCUCGCCUAACCUCGCAGAAGUAGUGACGAGGGUUCGACUUCGACACUUAUUAGGCCAACAAACAUAAUAAUAUGAAGUUCAACAUAUUUAAUUCGCAGUGUAUAUAGAUAACAACAAGCUCAAACAUGAAUAAUUAUUGGGAAUCCUUUCAUCCAAUUAAUAAAAUCAAGAACUUUCCUCAUUUAAAUUAGUGACCUUUCCAGCAAUAAGUCAUACAAAUUAUAAGGGUUACGAUUAUAUUAUCACACACAAAUACCACCGAGGACAAUCGUCCCGAUCCAACAUAAAAGUAAAAUGUGCACUGCCAAGGGUCGAAUGGCACGAACCAUAGAUGCAUCUAUUCACCCUGCUCACGAAUCAUUCAUGCGACAUGGUAAAAGCAUAACCCCGCUCGUGAAUCAUACAUGCGACGCGGUAAACAUAAUUUUCAUCAUUUAAACACAACAAUUCUUUAAUUCCCUUUUUACAAAAAAGAAAAUGAAUAUAAUUCACUUGAAGCCUGUACAUCUUUAGAUUUCCUUCAACUUACUUCCUCUCAUAGCAUUAGCAUAUGUAAGCAAUUAGUAGCGACCAUGAAGCAUGAUGUGAUCCUAGAACUACCCGGACAUAACAGGAAUAGUAGCUAAGUACGGACUCUCGUCACCUCGUGCAUACGUAGCCCCCACAAUUAAUCAUAUAUUAAUUAAGUUCACCUAUGGGGACAUUUCCCCCUACAAGGUUAGAAAAGAGACUUACCUCGUUUCGAGCCUACUUCCAACUCAAGAAUUCGUCCAAACUCUCAAACCGUAGCUUUACAAAUUUGUAUUCUAGCAAUUAAAGCGAUUAUCCAACCCCAAGAGCAAGGUUCCUAAAAUUCAACCCAAGGCCCACGUGCCCAGAUUGCGGAAAUGUUUGAAAAAAGUUGUUAUACAUAACCUAAGGAUCAAGAAUAUAUGAUUUUUACUCCAUUCCAUAACAAAAUUCGUGGUUAGAUCUUGUUUUUAUCAAAAUCCUACAUUUUACUCUAAUCCCAUGAUUUUCACAAAUCUUUAUGUGUUAAUAUACUCAAAACCCAAGUAUUAAACUCACAUUAAGUGGAAAUAACUUACCUCACAAUGCUAGGUUGAAAUCCCUUCUUUGGAAGCUCCCAAAUCGCCCAAGUGUAAAAGUGAAAUGAAAUAAAUGGCAUAAGUCCCAUUUUUAAAAGUUGUGCCCAGACCUCUGAUAUCACAUUUGCGACAUCAGGUUCGCAAUUGCGACAAACCACCAUCGCAAAAGCGAACCUGGGCUCCCUCUGCAAGGAUCGCAAAUGCGACAAAAGGGUCGCAAAUGUGAACCCUGCUGGGUUCCCAAAUGCGAAAGAAAUGUCGCAAAUGCGACGACUGCCCAACUCAGGCUUCUUCGUAAAUGUGAAGCCUUCUCGCAAAUGCGAACAAAUCAUCGCAUUUGCGAGACCUGCAACACUUGCCUAGAAAUACCAGAAAACUUGAGUGUUUUCACUCCCAACACACGUCUGAAACUCACCCGAGCCCUCGGGGCUCCAUACCGAAUACUCAUUAAAGUCUAACAACAUCAUACAAACUUGCUCAUGUGAUCAAAUGACCGAAAUAACAUCUAAAACUACGGAUUUAACACCAAAACACAUGAAAUUCUUAAGAACAUUUGAAAUUCCUAUUUUUACAAUCGGACGUCCGAAUUACGUCAAAUCAGUUUCGUUUCUCACCAAAUUUCACAAUCAUGACUUAAAUGUUAUUUUGGACCUAUAUCGGGCUCCGGAACCAACAUACGGGCCCGAUACCAACAUGAUCAAACUUUUUUCAAUUUCUUUAAAUCUUGAGAUUUUCAGUUUAACAAUUUUUAAUAAAAAUUCAUUACUUGGGCGAGGGACCUCGGAAUUCGAUUCCGGGCAUACGCCCAAGUCCCAUAUUUUACUACGGACCCUCCGGGACCGUCACAACACGAGUGCGGGUCCGUUCACUAAAAAUGUUGACCGAAGUCAACUAAAAUUACUUUUUAAGGUAAAAAAUAUUAUUUUCUCAAAUUUUUCGAACAAAGGCUUUCUGGAAACGUGCCCAAACUGUGCACGUAGAUCAAGGAGAAGUACAAUGAGGUUUUGAAGGCCUUAGAAACCCGAAUUGGGUUCUAAAACUCGAGAUAAACCUUUGGCUCAUCACAGUGUAUAUAGGUAAAAUAUUAUUGUUUACCUCUAAUAUCCGAGUAACAAUUAAAUUUGUAUUGAGGUCUUAAAGAUACGUGAUUUAGUCCAAUACUAACUUAUAACCAAGAAAUCAAAUGUAUAAAUUAAAGAAGUAAGUUGAGUCAAAUCAGCGUGCAAGCAAGUCUCGACCUCGAGCUAAGAUGGCCUCACGGUAGGUCAGUAAGAACAAUAAAGUUAAAAAACAAUUCUGAUGAGUAAUGAGAAAGAAAGUAAGAAUGUAUAUUCUUUUGCCAAUGAUUGAUGAUGUUAUAAAUGAAUUGGCUCCCCUUUAUAUUAUAGGGGAGUCUUUUACAAGGUACAUUUCCAUUUUUAGUAGGGAAUCUUAUUGGGACAGCUGUCUAACCGCCUAGUACAAAUCCGUACAAACUCGUACAAAUCUAUUUCGAACUUUAUGCCGUGAUCUUAGGGACAUUGUGGGAAUCUUGCUCUUUAUGUUAUAAACCGAUAAUGGUAUCACCUCGGGGUUGGUCAUACUCAGCCUUUGUGCCCAUCGUAUACUUCAAUCUUCGAGCCUUGUACUCUGUUAUCGGGCUCGAGCUCGGUCCAUCGGGCUCGAGCUUGGUCCAUUCUAAUCUCGGUCUCGAAGCGACUCUUCGAGCCCAUGAAAUCGAGAAUACCUGAUUUUGACCAUAUACAGAUAGUCCUCGCGUUUCUUAGGAAAAAAUGAUAAGAAAUGUUUUGAUCCUCGAUCCUCUGAUGCCUCGAUCGUGAAGUCCAUUUCAUGACGUUAGCGACAAAAGUGAUUGAAAGGUCGCAUCUGCAUAGUUCCCAAGGUCAUUAAUUGAAAGCGACUGAUGGUCAGCCAUUGGCCUCCCUAAACCGUUGAUACGACCACUAUAAAUAGGUUAAUUCCACAACUUUUACAAUCUUUACUUCUCAAACUUUUCCCAAAACCUCACUAGCUUCUUCAUCUUCUCUGAGUCCAUCCUUUCUUCAAUUUGUUCUUAUUGCAGCAUCAACUUCUUCUCUUCUUUUGAGUUUAUCAACAGAAAUGGCUAAACCAUCUAAAAUUGUUCCUCAGAAAGAAAAAACCUCCUCAUCAUCGCGGCCGGCCGAUGUUAGAACGACGACGCCCCCUCAUAUCGAGGAAUUAUUCUUGGGCAUGCGAUCUAUCUUUUGAUUUCAAAAUCGAUAAGCCUCCAUCAGUUUUAGGCCGAUGCAAGCCUAUGUCUCAAUAUGUCUGCUCUAUAUCUAAAGUCGAUCUUAAACAGGUGAAAUAGGACUGCAAUUGGGAGAACAAGGAAGUGGUAAUUCCUUCCCUAGAGGAGGACAUUACUACCCAUGUGAAAGGAUACCUAAGUAUGUAUACUUAUCCUUUCACACUGGGUCCCGUAAAUCUGGUGCUGGGUUCUGUAGAUCCAGUCAUUCUCGAUUUCUGUCUCCAAUAUUGGGUGACCCUUGGCCAGACCUACCCUUCUUUCUGGCGCAUCGUCAAUUUGCUCAGGUACUUCUUGGGCAAGGUCAAAGGGAUGUCUUUUACACUCGACCACCUAAUCAGGCUAUAUAGCCCUCGCCUCUAUCAAGGUUGUUUGAUAAAUCUCCAGUGUCGAUCCUCAAAGGCGCUAUUCUCUAGUAUCGAUGAGGACAAGGACCAAGGAUGGAUGAGCCAGUUUGUCCAAAUCAAGACCCCCGACUUAAUUCUUGCCGAAAGGAUGUCAUUCCCCGAGGAAUGGAACAUGAAACGUAAGUACAACCCUAUCGAUGAUAUUUAUUACUCUGCCUUCCCUGUUCUUCCUCGAUCUAAUUCUUUUUCGAUGGUGAAGCUUCCCCUUGGUUUCCUGGUGCGAUUCCGGAUCUUGCAGGUUGGGUUCGACAACUCGUCUCCACUUCUUCACACGGAGAACAUUGUUCGCGUGAUUUGGCUUAGGGUCGGUGGGAAGCUAAAAAUCAUGGUAAGUUCCCUUGUUCAUAUCUUGACAUUUCUCUAUAAAAUACUUAUUUUCCCUUAUACAGGCCUCAGAGACAUUGUUAUUACGAGGUCGCGUCUGUCCGGUAAAGAAUAAAUCCCGAAGCCAACCAAGGAGAAGAAAAGGAAAAGGACUUCGCCAACAAGUUCCCUAAUGCCCAAGAAAAAUAAGGCUCGAAAGCCUAGGUCCGAUCCUAUAGCCCUAUCUGCAGAAGCGAUUCAACACCUUCGGGAUGACGAGGAAGAGGGAGAAGAUGCCGAUUUCCUAUUGGUAGCUCGAAAGAGGGGGAGCACUGAAGCUUCAAAGGCCGCCGAACCGGCAGUGGCUGAUGAGGUUCAAUAUCGAACCGAAGAAAUCUCAGAGGGGAGCUCAAGCAGAUUCCCCAAGCCAUCGAGUGGUAAAAGUGCUCCUCACCUUGGAGGACAUCUGACGGGCAAGCCCGCAGAGCCUAAUUCCGAGGCCCUCCAAAGUGAAUCUCUUGGGAUAAUUAACAUAGAUGAAUCCCCGCCUAGCCCUGUGUUUUCUAAAGGGCAGUUUCGAGAUGCCACGGUCAUAUAGACUCCCAACAUGGGGACGACCCAUGAAGGGAAUGAUAUUUUUCGGGAAUGUUUUGCGGGGGUUGAAGAUGGCCCUCACUCGGAUGCUUUGUUUAUUUUCGACGAGGCUCAAUGUCUUCUGAAGCAAGUAAGUUUUUUCCUUCAUAAUUAUAUUCGUGAUUUAUUCUCAUUUUUUUGAAUCUAAAUUUUUUUCUUUGUGUGAAGGUUGUGACGCUCCACCAACAAGCAUUUUCUAAAUCUCGAGUCGAGCUUUCCCGAUGUGAGGUCGAAAUCAAGAAGCUCGUGGAAAAGAGGUAUAGCCUCAAUACUUUCAAAAAGAAGAGGAGAUCAGGGACCUUUGAGCCAAUUUGACGAAGGCUCAUCGAGAACAAACUAAGCUCAUUAAGGUAAUGAAACUUCUCGGGAGUUUUUUAUGUGAUUUAUGGAUCGUGGGGUGGAAGCAGCAUAUGGAUCAUCUUGCCUCGAAAAAAGACACACUUUGGGCCCAACUAACUUCGGUCAAAUUCCAACUUUAAAAUGCAAAGGGGGAAAGCUUGGCACGAAGCCGAAUGAUUGAGGAGCUUGAAGCUAAAUCAGUUGUCGAACUUGUAAAGGCUAAAUCUGAGGUGGAGGCGUUUAUGGCCUCUUACCGCGCUGAUGUCGAGGUUGCCAACAUUCGGACAUAUGAGAUCUUUAUCGCUGCUGAAGUCAAAUUGUCGUGUGUUGUCGAUCACGCCAGGCGACAAUCUAGAGAGAAACUCUCGAGGAAGUCCAUGCUCGUGGCUUCGACCUCUCAGUUGAUAUUGAAAAGGCAAAAACUUUAGGGGAUGAGGCUGCCGCUUUACUCUCUGAUGAUGAAGACUCCGCUAGUGGCUCUGACAGUGGAGGAGAUGAGGAUGAAGUCCUCGAGGAGGAGGUUCUCGAAGAUGUGGCACCCAAAGAUGCGGCCCCCGAAGAUGCAACUCCCAAAGUAGACUAGGUCCUUAGGAUUUUGUCUUCCGUUUUUUGUGUAAGGCCCCUUGUGGGCAUUGUAAAUACCUUUUAUGUAUAUAAAGAACCCUUUUUCUUUCCGCCCCAUAUCCGAUUUGUUUUAAAGUCUGCUUUGUUUUCGAUUUGUGAAUUUUUUUUAUGUUAUAACUUCAAUAAUCGAGUGAGCACCAGCUCGGACUUAGAGUAAAAUAAACCCUUAGGUUUUUUAGUAAUCAAUGGGAAAUCUUUGAACUUAUAAUCGAUUACCUCUUAAGGUGUUUUGAUGAAUCCUCGAGCUAUGCUUAAGUCGAUUUGAUGCGAGCUCAGGAUGGCAGGACCCUUAGGUCCGAGUUGAGUGAUAACAAGGUCUCAAACUCUAAAUGUUUUGACCCUUAGGUUCUAUUAGGUUGGGCCGAUAUGGACUUUGAAAGAUGGCUAUUAUUUUCCCUUUUUGGCUUAAGCAUGGACUCCGGAAUAUCAACAAGCAUUGGUGGAAUUGAAGCGGUACUUAUCAAGCCCACCUCUUCUCCACACUCCGAAGGCAGAUGAGAAGCUAUACUUAUACUUGGCUGUGUCCGAAAUAGUGAUAAGUGGUGUACUAGUUCGAGAAGAGCAAGGUACGACGUUUCCUGUUUAUUACGUAAGUUGAACCUUAGGAGAUGCUGAAACUAGGUAUCCACUCUUAGAGAAGUUGGCACUUGCAUUAAUAAGCACAUCUAGAAAAUUAAAGACAUAUUUCUAGUGUCACCCCAUAUGUGUGUUAACUACUUAUCCUCUCCGAAAUGUUUUCACAAGCCCGCAUUAUCGGGCCGAUUGACCAAAUGGGUCGUCAAACUUGGCAGGUACGAUAUCAAAUAUCAACCCCGAACGACCAUCAAGUCUCAAAUCUUAGCUAACUUCGUGGCUGAUUUUACACCAACCCUCGUACUCGAAGUGGAAAAGGAACUUCUACUAAAAUUAGGUACAUCAUCGGGGGUAUGGAUCCUCUUCACAGACGGUGCCUCGAAUAUGAAAAGGUCCGGGCUUGGCAUUGUUUUGAAGCCACCUACAGGUAACACUAUUAGACAAUCUAUCAAAACUUAUAGGUUGACUAAUAAUGAGACCGAGUAUGAGGCCAUGAUUGCAGGUCUCGAGUUAGCUAAAAGCUUGGGGCAGAAGUCAUUGAAGCCAAGUGCGAUUCUCUGUUGGUGGUAAACCAAGUAAAAAAAAGCUUAAAGUUCAAGAGGCUAGGAUGCAAAGAUAUUUAGACAAGCUACAGGUAACAUUGCAUCGCUUCAAGGAAUGGACUCUAGACCAUGUACCUCGGAGGCAAAAUAGUGAGGCAGAUGCACUUGCAAACUUGGGGUCAUCAGUCGAGGAAGAUGAUAUUAUCCCUGAGACUGUCGUCCAAUUAUCAAGAUCUGUGGUCGAGGAAGUUCAUGCUGAGAUAAAUUCUACAAGUUUGACUUGGGAUUGGAGGAAUACAUAUAUUGAAUAUGUGAAAGAUGGAAAGCUCCCAUCGGAUCAUAAAGAGUUGAGAGCUCUACGAACCAGGGCUGCUAGGUUCACAUUGUAUGAAGAUGGAACAUUAUACAGAAGGACGUUUGAUGGACCAUUGGCGGUAUGUUUAGGGCCGGGGGACACCGAUUAUGUUUUACGAGAGAUCCAUGAAGGCACUUGUAGAAACCACUCCGUCGUUGAGUCUUUGAUUUGCAAAAUUAUUAGAGUGGUUACUGGGAUAACAUAGAAAAAGACACUAAGGAGUUUGUCAAAAAAUGUAAUAAAUGUCAAAGGUUUGCACCGAUGAUUCAUCAGCUAGGAGAGCAACUUCACUCAGUCCUGUCCCCAUGGCCUUUCAUGAAAUGGAGAAUGGACAUCGUCGUCCCUUUACCAAUGGCCCCAUGUAAAGCUAAAUUCAUUUUGUUUAUGACUAACUACUUUUCUAAGUGGGUGAAAGUACAUGCCUACGAGAAGGUCAGAGAAAAAGAAGUUAUUGACUUCAUCUGGGACCAUAUCGUGUGUUGAUUCGGGAUAACUGCCGAAAUCGUAUACGGCAAUGGCAAGCAAUUCAUUGGCAACAAGGUAACGGAGUUCCUCGAAGCACACAAAAUAAAAAGGAUUUUAUCAACACCGUAUCAUCCGAGCAAAAACGGACAGGCCGAGUCAACAAAUAAGACUAUCAUUCAAAACUUGAAGAAAAGGAUGAACGACGCUAAAGGGAAAUGGAGAGAAGUUCUACCCAAAGUUCUUUGGGCAUAUCGAACAACAUCGAAGUCUAGAACGGGGGCAAACCCAUUCUAUUUAGUAUAUGGCUCCGAGGCCUUGAUUCCAGUCGAGGUCAGGGAACCCAUCGCCAGAUUUUGACAUACAUCGGAGGAAUCAAAUCACGAGGCUAUGAAUACUAGCCUCGAGCUAUUAGAUGCAAAAUGAGAAGCUGCACUUUUUGGAUGGAUUCACAGAAGUAAAGAAUCAAAAGAUACUAUAAUAGAAGAACCAACCUUCGACACUUCAGAAUCGGGGAUUUAGUUCUAAGGACCAUAUCGAGUCAUCGGAAAAGGAUCUUACAAACUUGGCACGAUGGAAGGCGAAUAAUUGCCAAACAAUUGGAAUGUGUCACUGCUCAAACAAUAUUAUUGCUGAGGUAUGACCUUAUCCUCUUUUCCAUUUUUAUUUAACGCUAACUCAUUGUAGAUGUUCGAUCAAAGACUUCGAGGGAACCCUUCUACACUAAGACCUUAGGUUUUAAAGCACGUGUUGCACUCUUUUUCACUUAGAUCGGGUUUUAUCCCAAAUGAGUUUUUCCUGAGAGGUUUUUAACGAGGAAACAACUAUGUGCUACCUAAGGAGAAUUCAACAGUAUCCAAUGCUUCUUUUCAAUCAACCUCGAAUAUUGGGGGGCAUCACCCUCGGAGGCUAUAUUUUCGAGAAAAAUACUUCACGCCAAAGAGGGCCUCGAUAGGAAAUCUUUGUAAUGGGCCAAACAGUCAGAUGAACUGUGUCCAAAUAGAAUAGCCGAGCCCUGAAGGCAAAAUAUAUAUGCGUGUAUAAGUUAUUCAAUGAGGCAUUCUUUGUAUAUCAAACACUUUAUGUCUCAAAGAAAUUUGCUACUAUACGAGCUCCAUACUUGUGAUUCUCUAUGAGAAAUGGCUCAAGGGCCAAAAUACAAACACACCUCGAAUAGUCGGGGACUGUCAUCGACAAUCAACACAUUCAAGUUGUCUAAACUCGAAUUCAUAAGACCUUAAAGAGGCAUCCCCAACGUAAAGGCCAAGGCCAUCAUACUCGGGGACUGACAUUUCGAACAAGUUGGAAAUGUUAUCGGGAAACAAAUCCAAGAGACACAUCCAAAGGCUACGAUCAUAUUAAAGGAUAUGACCAAAAUAACGCAGCUUGGAGACGUCCGAAUUCUGCAAUAAAUAUAGGCCUUCGAAUUCUCAGAAUAUCGAUUAAAUAAAGGAUACCCUCGGCAAAAUAACCAAAGAUCUUCGAUAAAAUCAGCCUUCGAAAAACCUUAAGAGGUAUCGAAUUAUUCAAAUACAAACUUGUGCUAAGGCACAAAAAACAAAGGGUUCUGAUCGACACUAAACCCUAAAAAAACCCACCCGAUUUGAUUCCAUGAAGCCGAGGAAUUUGCCUAAGCCAACCCCGAAGGCACAUUUUUCGGGGUUAAUUUUUAUGUUGUACUUCCUCAAGAUUUCGAAUGUUUCCUGCAAAUGAGUCAAAUGAUCCUCUGCGCGUAGGGACUUAACUAACAUAUCAUCAAUUACCUAUCUGUUCCUCGAACAUUUUGUUAACUAGGCGUUGGUAUGUAGCUCCUGCAUUUUUAGUCCGAAGGGCAUUAUGUUGUAAUAAUAAUUUCCAUACUUGGUGAUAAAUGAGGUCUUCUACGGAUCUUCUGUGUUCAUCUGAAUUUGAUUGUACCCGGAUAGGCAUCGAGAAAGGUAAGGAUCUCAUGGCCGGCUGUGGCAUCAAUCAUGCAGUCGAUUUUAGGCAGUGGAAAAGAGUCUUUAGGGCAUGCCUUAUUUAAAUCCUUAUAAUCUACGCACAUUCUAAGUUUGUUCCCUUUUUUUGGGACUACAACUACAUUUGCUAACCACUCAGGGUACUUUACCUCCUGAAUGGACCCUAUUUUAAGAAGUUUAGUUACCUUAGUCUUUAUGAAUGCAUGCUUCACCUCGGACUGGGGCCUUCUCUUUUGCUUCAUCGGUUUAAAUCUGUGGUCGAGGAUCAACUGGUGAGUUGUUAUUUUCGGUGGGAUCCAUGUGAUGUCUAAAUGGGACCAAGCAAAACAAUUCAUGUUAUCAAUAAGAAAUUGAAUGAGUUUUUUUCUGAGUUUGGGGGUUAGCCCUGUUCCCAGGUAUACCUUUCGUUCGGGAAUAUACUCGAUUAGUAUGACCUAUUUCAGCUCUUCGACCGUUGACUUGGUUGCAUGUGACUCUUCGGGAAAAAUGAAAGUUCGAGGAGUAAGGAAAUCCUCUUCUUCUUUUUUGAUUACUUGUUUCUCCGAUUCGGUCGAGGUUGGGGACGGUGAUUGCUAUUUGGCCGUUUGCUUAUCUUUGUUGCUCGUUUUUUUAGCUCGAAAGUGUUGAUGCUGGUGUCACCUCAUCGAUUGCAAACAUUUCCUUUGUUGCGUGUUGUUCCCCGUAAACUGUUUUCACACCAUUCAUUGUUGGGAAUUUCAUCAUUUGAUGAAGGGUCGAUGGUACUACCCUCAUAUUGUGGAUCCAUGGCCUCCCGAGUAGUGCAUUAUAUCUCAUGUCGCCUUUGAUGACAUGGAAUUUUGUAUCCUGGAUGGUCCCAGCCACGUUCACCGGUAGGAUUAUCUCUCAUUUCGUUAUUUCACUUGCCAUGUUGAAGCCGUUUAGGACUCGAGAUGCAGGUACAAUUUGGUCCUGCAGGUCGAGUUGCUCUACAGCCCUUGAUUUGAUUAUGUUUGACGAACUACCGGGACCCACAAGAACACGUUUAACUUGAAUUUUAUUUUACAAAAUAGAAAUUGUCAGGGCGUCAUUGUGCUGUUGAGAAAUGCCUUCCGCUUCUCGUCAUUGAACGAUAGGAUGCCCUUGGGCAUAUAACUCCGAGUCCAUUUUUUCUUGUAAUCGACACCUUGGUACGUUUGAUAGGCCCUUAUGGAACAUCGACCCCGCCAACUAUCAUAUGAAUUACAUGUUGUAGCUCUUCCUACUCAUUAUUUCUAUUGAUGUCUCUUUCUCUGAAGUGAUUCUUAGCUCGAUCACUAAGAAACUCUCGAAGAUGACCCUCGUUGAACAAUCGAGCUACCUCCUCCCUGAGCUGUCUGCAAUCUUCGGUCCUAUGGCCAUGUCUGCCAUGAUAUUUACACAUCAAGUUUGGAUUUCUUUGAGAAGUAUCGAUUUGUAUAGGUCUGGGCUGCCUGGUGUCUUUGAUUCUUCCGAUAGUCAAUACGAUCCUCGAUGCAUCGACACUGAAAUUAUACUCCGAUAAUCAAGGUGCUUUUGCGGGAUCAGUAUGUUAAUCAAAACCAUUCUUACUUAUAAGUCCCCGAGAAUUUUUCCCUCGAUCAUUUCUUCGAUAAUUCCGAGGAGGAUUGAGCCCCAAACCACUAUUUCUUUGAUCUGCGCCAUAUGGCUGAUAUAGUUCUCUGUUCGACCUCGGUUCCUUGUCGGUAUACCUCAGGGCUUUAACUGCCAAUCCGUUUGGAUGAAUUGAAUCCGAGGGGCUCCAGCUGGUCAUCCUCAACCCUGAUCUUCGAUUGAUAACGAUUAUGCACAUCUGCCCAAGUUACAACUGGAUAUUCAAUCAGAUUUUGCUUUAAUUGUCGUAACGCUAUCGAACUCCACUCAUUCAACCCUUGUGUGAAAGCUUGAAUGACCCAAUCAUCCGUAACUGGUGGCAACUUCAUUCGCACCAUUUGAAAUCGGGACAUGAACUCCCUCAGCAUUUUGUUAUCCGUUUGUCUUAUCUUGAAAAUGUUGGAUUUUCUCGUUGCAACUUUUAUGACCCUAGCGUGAGCCUUCACAGAAUAAUCAGCUAACAUGGUAAAUGAAUCGAUGGAGUUCGGUGGCAAGUUGUGAUACCAAACCAUUGCUUCAUUUGAUAGAGUUUCCUCAAUUUUUUUCGACAAAACGGACUCGAUCUCAUCGUCUUCUAAGUCAUUUCCCUUUAUACCGCAUGUGUAUGUAGUGAUAUGUUCAUUAGGAUCGGUGGUCCCAUUGUAUUUCGGUAUAUCCGGCAUACAAAACUUCUUUGAAAUGGGCUUUAGAGCCGUACUCUAGGGAAAAGGCUUUUGCACGAACUUUUUUGAAUCCACACCCUUUAAGAUCGGGGGUGCCCCUAGUAUUUGAUCAGCUUGGGAAUUGUAUGUUUCCACUUUUUUGUCAUUAUCUUCGAUUUUCUUUUCUCCUGACUCAAUUCUUUUAUUGAGCUCCUCAAGCAUCUUCAUAAUCGUAGGAUCAACCCCUGAUCCACUACCAUUUGUUCUUUCCGGCACUGGCUUGGUACGGCGAGUGAUUUCCGGAUCGACCACACUCGGAGUUUUGUGUUGACUCUGAAGCUGAGAAAUAGCAGCCUAUUGAGCCUGCAAUAUCUCAAAUAUCACCUAAAGACUAACUCCCCCGUCUCUUACACUCCGAGUUCCUUGGCCACCAGUUCGGCCUUCCCUGUGCACACUUCCUCCGGGGUUCGCACCUAAAUCCGCGUUCAGAGCAAUGUGUGAACUGACAUCGACUGGCUUGGUAGCAGGCACUUCCUCAGGGUUAAUCGGUGACACACUAACUCUUGGAGCAAUUACGUUGUCAUUUUCCCUUUGAAAUACAAGAUCGUCACUACCAUGUACGAGCGCGUUCUGUGAGUUUGACAUGUUUUACCCUGAGAACAAAGAAUCUUUGACAAGAAUAAGUGUGAAAAUAACGUGUGUUCUUAAAAUCAGCACUAAAACAAUCACUAUUAUCUUUAGCCCCACAGUGGGCGCCAAACUGUUUACCCCUAAAAUUCGAGUAACAACUAAAUUUGUUUUGAGGUCUUAAAUAUACGUGAUUUAGUCCAAUACUAACUGAUAACCAACAAUCAAACUUAUAAAUUAAAUAAGUAAGUUGAAUCAAACCAGUGUGCAAGCAAGCCUCGACCUCGAGCUAGGGUGGCCUUGAGGUAGGUCAGUAAGAACAAUAAAGUUAAAGGACAAUUCUGUUGAGUAAUAAGCAAGAAAAUAAGAAUGUAUAUUCUUUUGCCAAUGAUUGAUAAUGUUACAAAUGAAUGGGCUUCCCUUUAUAUAGCAGGGGAGUCUUUUACAAGGUACAUUUUCAUUUUUAGUAGGGAAUCUUAUUGGGAUAGCUGUCUAACCGCCUAGUAUAAAUCCGUACAAACUCGUACAAAUCUAUUCCGAAAUUUAUGUCGUUAUCUUAGGGAUGUUGCGAGAAUCUUGCUCUUUCUGUUACAAACCCAUAAUGGCGUCAUCUUGGGAUUGGUCAUACUCAGCCAUGGUUCCCAUCGUGUACUUCAAUCUUUGAGCCUUGUACUUCGUCAUCGGGCUCGAGCUUGGUCCAUUUUGAACUCGGGCUCGAAGUGACUCUUCGAGCCCAUGAAAUCGGGCAUACCUGAUUUUGACCAUAUACAAUUAUGUUUUAGAGUUAUAUAACACAUAUUGAACACCCUUUAUCGGGAUUUUGAACAUUAGAACUAAUUAUCAGGCAAAUCAUUACCAGCAUUUUCUGUAGCAGCAAAUUUUCAUUAAAGGUGCAAUGUAGAGUAUCCAGUCAGUGGCUCCGACUUUGAUAGAUGUGAUCACUUCUCUAUCAAGAUCUUGGCUACUUUUUUUCAAUUAUUUUUUUAAAACAUUGUUUUCUCAUAAAAUAUGAUCAAGUUUUUGAAAAAAAAUCAAAUAUUUUUAAAUUCCUAAAAAUAGGUUUAGGGCAACUUUUGGGUAAAAUUCUUUCUUCAACUCAUAAGAUUUCAAAUUUUUUUUUUCAAAUAAAGUGAAUGUCCAAAUACAACCCCAACUUCCAAAAAUUAUUUUUCAACACAACUUCAAAAACUUUUUUUUCAAGUUUCAGCCAGAUUUAUAUCCAAAUACUAGCUUAUAGUUCAAUAAAAUUAGCAUUUUGACAAAGUAGUCACCCAAAGAUUCGCUUUUUGAAGCGUUUGAUUGAAUGUAUUUUGGGUAUUAAUUUGAACAAAAACCUAUUUUUGCUUAAAGAAGAAGAUAAUCACAGUAGUGACCGAUCGGUUGAUGGGUCUUAAUGGCUGAAGAUGUAAUUAUUCAAUAGCACAUGGAAAUGCAAGCUAAACACCAAGUUUUUGUUGUUGUUAAUUAAAACAAUGAAGAUUUGGUGUUCCAACUUGUAUAAUUCAGUCAUGUAAAUGGGUACAUUUAUAUCUGAAGAAGUACAAUGGUAGUAGGAGUUUUAUAGAUGAUGAAGAGAGGUUUAGGAGAUAUAUACAAUAAUUUUAAUUCAAAUGAGAAUCUUAGCUCUGCUUAUCCUUAUCCUUAUCAUGCCCUCACAAGAUUGUCUCCACUGGUUGGAGGCCAAUCAUGGUCACAAAUUCAGAGAAAGGUCAUCGAGGUAGAGGUUUUGUUAGGGCAUCUGUAAGCUGUGAGACAUUGCUAAUGUGCCGAACAUUAAUUUUUAUUCCUUUCAACUUGAUCACGGACGAAAUGAAAAUCAAUGGCCACAUGUUACAUUCUACUGUGGAAGAUAGGAUUACGACUGAGAUAAGUAGCUCGAACAUUAUCGCAUAGGAUUUUUAGCGGAGUAUUAGGUGGAAGAUGCAGCUCCUUAAGGAGAUUAACAAUCCAGUUUACUUCAGCUACAGCUCCUGCAACAGUUCGAUACUCAGCUUCAGUGGAUGAGCGAGCAAUUAUUCGAUUCUUUUUAGAACACCAACUGAUAGGAUUUAACCCAAGAAGAAUGACAUAAGAUGAAGUUGAGUGUCUUGUAUCAAGCAUUCUAUCCCAAUCAGCGUCAGAGUAAGUCAGAAGUAUGGUAGUGGAUGAGGGCCUUAUGAUAAGUCUAUAGGUGAGUGUUUCUUUGAGGUAUCUGAGCAAGCACUUAGCUGCUUGCCAAUGUCGAAUCGAUGGAGCAUGUUGGAAUUGAGCAAGCUUAUUGAUGGUAAAGCAAAUACCCGGCCUUGUAAAACUAAGAUACUGAUGGUAAAGCUUAUUGAUGAAAAUCAACACCCGGUCUUUGGUGAAAACCCUUUGCAACUAGACGCGCAUUAUAUCGUUCCAUUGAUCCAUCUGCAUUUUGUUUUACACGAAAUACCCACUUGCAGCCUAUCACAUUUUGUGAUGAAGUUGGAGGAACUAGAGAUCAAGUAGCAUUAUUCAAAAGAGCUGAGUAUUCAGCCUGCAUUGCAUCAUGCCAUUCAAUAUAUUUGUUUUCUUGCUUAAACGUAUGAGGUGCUAGUGGCAGUAUUUUGUUGGGCGAGACAACAAGGUAGUCAAAAACUUAUUUGGGCUUGAAGACAUUAUUUUGAGAUCUCAUCACCAUUCUUGAGGGAGGAAGAGGUACCACUUUUGUGGUAGAAGAAGAGAGAAGAGGCGUAGUAGUGGAAGAAGAACAAGGUAGAUAAGAUCGUACCUCGAGUGAAGGUAAGCAUCAUCCUGCAAUGAUAAGCUCGACAAACCUUCCAUGGGUGGCUGUUGACAAGGAGAGUUGCUUGAGGGAGGCAAUGAGAUAGGUUCAAAGGCAAAAUCUGAUUGGUUUUGUAUUGGAGAAACAUUGGUUGGUUCUAUGGAGUGGAUCCACUAGUGCGCAAGAGUGAUGGUUCUAUUCUGGGAAGACCUAGCUGAUUAUUUUUGAAUGAAAAUAUAUGUUCCACAAAGAGGACGUGUCUUGAGAUGAAUAUUUUGGAGGUUGAAAGAUCAAGACAUUCAUAACUAUUUGUAGAAGGUGAGUAUCCCAUGAAGGCACAAGGUCUUGAUUUGGGAGCAAGUUUAUUAUUGUUAUAUGGUUUUAACCAGCGGUAACAUAAACAACCAAAAACUCUUAAUUUCAAAAGGUUACGGAAUGUGUUAAAGAGGCAUUGAAAAGGAGAACAAAGUUUGAGCUAUGGAGUAGGCAUCCUAUUUAUAAGGUAGACAGCCGUUUGACAAGCCAAUGACCAAAAACGUGAAGGUACAGAUGCAUGGUGCAUUAAAGUUAGAACAAUAUCAAUGAUAUGUCGAUGCUUGCGUUCAGUUUUCCGAAAACGGCGCCUUUUUUUGAAUUAAACCAAAAACUUGUUGCGACCAAAUGCACAAGCAAGUAUACGUGGCCUCAAGUAAUAAAGUGACUAAAAGUCGGAUGUCGAACCCACGAGAACUUGUGAUUAACUAUUAAGCAAAUUAGACUAUACUAAUUAUCUAAAUAAGAAUUAAACCUAGAAGUAUAUGAUUCUAAUCUAAUUAAAAUAAAAAGAAAAGAAAUAAUGAACUCUAAAUAAAAGGAUAGCAGAUUUUUAUGUUAUCAAUGUGAUGAAAACGUUCUAGAGUUAUGGGCUAUCUAACAAUCAUAUUGUAUUCUUCAUUUGAAUUGACUAAUUAAUUUAUCUGAUUUAAUGGUUGACAGGGUUAAUAUGCUCAUAAGAAUUCGUUGAGUUCUUACUCGCCUAUUCAAGCUAACCUAACGCCUAUAUGUCUAUAAUAGAACUAAUAAGAACGCAUUUAUAAUUCCUGUAAAUCAACCAAGCAAGGCAAUUAGGUAUAUGUCUAUCCUAACUGCGAAUCCAUUCCCCGAUGCCCAGGUUCAAGAACUUGCUCUACUCAAUCCUAUGUGCAAUCUAGUAUUCCCACUUUCGAGUUCAACUCUAGAUUCAUAGAUAGUAUUUAAUUGGUGAUCAAGCAAUUAUAUAAUUACGCACAAGAUUGAAUAAAUAAACUAAUAUGAUAAACUAAGAAAUAAAAAUCAAUAUUCGAAUAACAAUAGUCAUGGAAGAACCACAACCCUAGAACGUGAAGUUUAGCUCCACAUAGACAUAGUAGCAAAACAACAAAUCAUACAAAGAAACAUAAAAAUUACUAAGUUUGGUGAAAGAAAAUAUGAAACCCGGCCUCCACGGUGGCUCUGUGCUAUCCCUUUCUCAAACUUUACUCUCAAAAACGUUCUAUCUCCCCCAAAAUAGGUUUAGACUUCUUUUUAUACAAGUUAGGGCAGUGUAGGACCAAAAUAACCUUGUCCCGAAUAAAAAAAAGAAAAAUUCUUACCCAGUGUCCUGGGCAGCACCUAGCGCUGGCCCUGGCGCAGAAACCAGUGACAUUUUGCUGUUUUCACGAAUUCAACUCCAAUCCCUUGGUUUGCCUUUAAGACUUAGUUCAUGUUCUUUUGUAUUCCAUAAUUAUGUCACAAUAAUAUUAUGUCAUAAUGACUAAUGAGCACAAUCAUUAUUGUCCACUAUAUUGUAAUCAAUUAGGAGAACUUCUCAUGGCCAAACACAAUGAGCUCCUUUGUCAAUUACUUCAACUAAUCAUGUCAUCUUGGUCAAAAUAAUCUAUUUUCUCCGCAAUUUCAUCUCCAAAGCAUCUACAAAUAAAAUAUACUCAGAAACACAAAUAUAGUAUAAUUUCUCAUUAAAGUACCAAAAAGUAAGGCAUGUAAUAUACAAAAAAUAUAUAAUUAUAGCCAAACAUCACUAUCCCACACUUAAAUGUUGCUCGUCCUCGAGUUAACCAAAAAUCACUCUAUCUUUGAGCACUUUAUAUGUUACAUAAUCGAAUCGCACUAUACCUAUGACAAUGGUUGAUAGCAACAAUUAAAUCUUAGCAUAUGUAAUUACUUACACUUCUCUUUACUUAUGCCAUUCUUCAACAAUAUUCACAAUAAAGACAACGUGCUCAUAACAAUUCUAGCCUCAAAAACUGACUCAAUGUCAUAGUGCACUCAUGGCUUGAACACCCAACAUCAUAGAGAAAUCUAAUAACGUUACCUAUCCCUCGUGAAGCCAUGUGCCCUCACAAUAAGAACAAGAGAAAAGUUCAAUCCACACAUUCGAAUCUCAUGAUCAAAUAUAUUUUAAUGACUCACAUAUAUUAAAGAAAAUCGCUUACUCUCACAAAGAAUUCACGUGCAUACAAUUGGUACCAUAGGCUUGCCCAUAAUGUAAAUCUCUACUAACGUAGGUUCACUCGAUCUAAAAUCAAAUAGGACUUUUUCGUGGUUGUUAUGUGGGCUAAGGGAUGAGUAUGAUAUAUUUAGGAAUAUUGAAUCAACUUCUUAAGCACUUUAACACAUCACAUGAUAACUUAAGCGCAAAUUCCUCAAUCCCACUUCAAUUUCACAAACAAUAUCACCCCCAAAAAUAUUCCCUUCUUCUUUAAGCACUACAUUAAUUCAUACCACUAGAAAGAACAGGACAAAAAUUUAUUCAUCUCUAUUUUUCCUUCUUUUUUUCCAUAUUUUCUCUCUUUUUUCCCAACUAUUUUGUUUACCGUGAAAAUGGUAAUAACAAUUAAAUUUAUUGAUGGGACUCUAAAAAUAUGUGAUCUAUUUUUAUGCUAGUUUGUUAAACAGUUGAUGCUAUAUAUGUGAGACUUAGAAAUGAAAUGAGAGUAAAGGAUGGGGCAAAAAUAAAACCGUUAGGCCAAUAAUCGGGGCCUCGGUCUCAUCGGUUCUGGGCCUCGAGGCCGAUCCCAGGGCUCGGCCACGAGCUAUUGAGGAUAAUCGGGGCAGGACUAAUGGUUACACUAAGAUCAAUAGAGGCACUUUAUGGCCAAUGAUAAGCAACAAAUGAUGAACAAAUAUGAAGAUAAUAAAUGGAAGCAAUAAUAUCAAGAGAGUGUAUGAGAGAGCAAAGAGAAUGUUCUUAUAUAUUUCUUAUGGAGCGGCUAGAGCAACAGAGUGUUACAAAGUAUCAAGGAUCCUCUUUAUAUAGGAGGGGAAAUCCCAUCAUAGUACAAAAUACAUUAAUGAUAAAGAAAUGGGGAUGGGACAAUUGGCUAACUUCAUGAUGCAGGCUCAGACUAGCCUGACAAAUGCACUCUUCGGGAACUCCCCAUAUCUGUUGGGGUCGCGGCCAACAUUAUCCCUAGGUCGGGUGUCGAUGGACCUCAAGGGAGGAUACUCAGUCUGUGGUUUCGAGCCUUCGAGGUGAUCUACCGAGAUGCCUUGUUAACGAGAAAUUGGUUCCUCCGAUUUUGCCGUAUAUAGAUAGUCCCCACGUUUCUUAGAGAGUAGCGACAAGAAAUAAUUUUGACAUCUGACUCUUCAAACUUCCCGUGAUGAUGUCAUACUGACGACGAAGCCUCCAUGAUUACCAAAACACUUCCGUUGUUUCGCUUUUCCAGGAUCAUUCAACGUAUUGCAGUUUCUCAUUCUCCAAGCCAUAAUGUCGCUGUCGAUUUAGUUCCUAGGAACGCAUUAAAUGCGCCUAUAAUUACAUUUUUCGAGGGAGAUAAUGGCACAAUUGGUUAUGUUGCCACCUUUCUAUAAAUGGGGACCUCCUGGGAUCAGCCUUUUAUCCAAGUACUUAUCUUUCUCCUUUCUCGCUAUCUUUAUUCUUUGUCGUUCACCAUGUUUUAUGCCCAUGGCCUCAAGAUUGUAUGACGAUACUUCUAUCAGGCAUGUCAUGGCCUGUCUCCUUGACCUUCUCUGGUCGAGCAAGAUUACGCUGUUUUUUUUGUUGUUGUUAUUAUUGUUGUUGCUGUAGUCGUCGGCUUGGGACGACAAAGCAGAGGGCCGAUUUCCUCCGACCUGAGGAAAUAUUUGGAUUAUACAUCGCUGAUCAAGAGGGGGAUUGGGCUAUACACCGGUGUGGCACCUCACUCCCUUUGCUUUCCAUGGAGUGAGGUAGUGCUAUCUACUAACUGUUUCAUCUCGCACCGGGGCAAUGUCUCAAGAAGUGGAUUUACAAUAAUAGCCUGGUGAAAUCCAUACUAGCCAGAUUUUUUACCCAGCCACUUCUUCGUUCCUUCCAGCCUCUUCCGCAUCACUUUGCUCUUCUCCAUCGCUUUCCUCUUCGUUGUCUCCCCUUUUGAAGAUGCCAUUCUGGGGAAUCGAGAUAAGACUCCCGAUGGGAUCGUGCUUGGAAGAUAUUGUCUUUGAGGAUGCGUGCCUGAGGAGAUGAUGCCCGAAAAUGUUGCUGCCGAGGACACACCUUUAAGAAUAGGCUAGGCUCUUAGACUUUUACUAUAUGUACACCUUCUUGCUUCUUUGUUUUUGUGUAAGGACCCCUCGUGGGCUUUUGUAAUCAUAUGUAAGGACCCCUCGUGGGCUUUUGUAAUUGAAUGUUCAUGAAUGCAAAGAUAUUUAUUUAAUUUUGUCUUCGAUGCUUGUUGUACUCCCUUUCAUUUAUGUUCACGGAAAUUCUGAAUGCAUGAUUCUAUCGGUUAGUGUCCAUAUCGAACCCGGGUGUGAGUAUUCUUUCUGGACUUCGGUUGAUUAAUAUGUCCUCGUGCGGAACCUUUUGUGAUCCCUUGGAUCGAACCUGGAUUGGACCACUAAACUCGGGUCACCAGGACCUUGACUUCGACUAUAAUGAAAGUAGCGUUUUGGGCCUUGAAACCAUGAUUUAUUACUUAAACUCCAUGGUAACCUUUGAGAAGAAAUUUGCUCGGAGGCCUGUGAACAGGGACUGCCUUUGAUCUCUCGAGGGCAGUCCCUUAGAGCGCUAUAGAUAGAUCUUGAAAGAGGGUUUGUCCGAUCUCAGAUGGUACCCUAGGGCCAAGCCCAUACAGGUAGAGUUUAAAUGCUUAUUUCCUUGGAGCCUAAUUCUCUUUUGACAAAAAAAACCCCCGAGGUUGGGUACCACCUCGGGUCUUGUAAUGAUGUCAUUAGCUUCCUGGAGCCUAACCUUCCCUUUGAUGGAGAUCCUCGAGGUCGAUUACCACCUCAGUGCUGGCGAAGGCAUCAUCGGCUUCCUCGAGCCUAGCCUUGUCCUGAUGGAGAUCCCUGAGGUCGGGUACUUAUAACUAGGGAUUUUAAUACAUUUUAUACUCCUUCUUGCUUAAGUUUUGAUUAGAAAUUUGUACAAAAUAGUCCCAAAAGGCUCACAAGUUGUGGUUGAUUGCAGGUUUGAUCAACAAAGUAACAAUAUGUCUUAAAUCAGCUCAAAAGGAGUGAAACUUGGACAAGUGCCAAAGACAAGACAAGCUCAGGCAAAGCAUGCCCAGUGCGGCCAUGCACCAUUCUGUACGGUCCACACUAGGAGAUUCAGAGAGGUGGAAUUCCAGGCAAAGUUGCAAUGCGGACACACUAGGUUUUGUGUGGUCCACACUGAAGGCAAUGCGGCCGUACUCGAUUUAGUGUGGUCUGCAGAACCUAAGAUCAGAGAGGUGCCAGAUUUGAGGAUUGAAGCCUAUGCGGUCUGCGGUCCAUUUUAUGCGGACCGCCUUAGAAGCCUAUGCGGCCGUAGUCCAUUAUGUGCGGUCCGCAUUGCCCAAGUUCAGAGCCCUAGUGCGGACGCACACCAUUUUGUACGGUACGCACUAACCCCGCAGGGGCAUUUUUGUCCAGAAUUUUCAGCUUAGUAUAAAUAGCUUUUUCCCAUUUUUAGGGCAUCAGAUAGUUUUAUAACGCAACUGAUCUUGUGGGUUCGGCUUUCUUAGCCAUUUUGGACAAUUGUAUCUACUUUUCAUCAUUGAAUCUUGUUAUUUACCUUAGUGAUUAAUUAAUAUGAGUUGUUCUUCAUCUAUUUCUUGCUUUUCUUCUUUAAUUAUGAGUAGCUAGACCCAUAAUCUAGGGUUAUGGCUCAACCCUAGUGUGGAUAAUUGAUAGGUUUUGUAUUUUAGGGCUAGAUUGACUAUGGGUGUUUGAUAUUUGAGCCAAUGUCAUGGUUAAUGCUGAAUUAGUGGUUGCAAACACUAGUUUGUGUAUAGUUGACUAGGGCUCUUCUUGAGAAAGUCAAUUCGGGCAAAAUCACUCGAACCACCGAGAGGGGUAGAGUGGGUAAUAUCGUGCAACGGUUAUAUCAUACUACCCAAUUAUGUCAAUCGUGUCCUAGAUUCAAUUACCCAUCAAUUAACCACCUAGGCGAAAGUCAUUAGCCUAGUGCCUUUUAAACCAUUUGAACAACCCUUUUAGUUUAACUCUUAGCUUAAUCUAGUUGCAUUUACCAUUUGUAUUUUGAUAAUAGUAGAAGUAAAAAGAAAACCCCAAAAAUGAGUAGAAGUGUAAUUUGGAACACAUGCGCAAUCCUAAACUAGAUAGAUACUCGAUUCCAAAUUCUAGCUCUCUGUGGAAAUCGAUCCCGACCCUAAAUUGGGUAAAAGCUGCUCUGACCCUCUCUCGCUACUCAAUAGUAGUGCGAAGUAGGCCGCGAUCACUUUUUGGCACCGUUGUCGGCGAGCUAACGGUUUUGGCUAUCUAUUUAGUUAGUUUUGUGUAUUGUUCUUCUUUCCUUCUUUGUUACUUACUUGUUUGUGUCACAACUUAGGUUCCAAAUGGCAGCGAACAACGCUAACGACCCUCUUGGAAAUGUGAUUGCGGGGGAGGAGGUAGAUGAUGCUAGAGAUGAUGAGGUGCCUCUUGUACCUCAAGGAUAAUGUAAAGGCCGCCAGGCCAAUGCGAAUGAUAAUAACAAUGUUCCAGACCCUCCUCUGCUACCUCCAAGAGUGGCUCCCAGAGUACUUCCGAACCAGGGCUGUGCGAGUGCUAUUGUCCCACCCCAAAUCCGAGCGGGCAAUUUUCAGAUAACCAAUGUGAUGUUAACGUUACUUGAGCAGCGUGUGUAUUUCACGGACGCUGCAAAUUAAAAUGCCUACAAACAUCUCAAGGGGUUCGUAGAUACAUGCUGGGGGAGCAAGCAAAUGAAUGUAUCCGAGGAUGCUCUUAGGUUGAGACUCUUCCCAUUCUCACUUCGGGGGAAGGCAUUAGAUUGGCUCGAGAGACUUCCCAACAAUUCCAUCACAUCUUGGGAUGAGUUGGCGGAUAAAUUCAUUGCUAAAUUUUUCUCGCCGGGACAUAUGGAGGCAUUGCGUGAUGAGAUAUUGGCCUUCAAGCAAGAGCCCACAUAACCUUUGCAUGUGAUUUGGGAGCGUUAUAGAACAAUGGUGAAAGAAUUCCCCAACAAUGAUAUGACCGAGGCUAUGAUACAACAAACCUUCUACCAGGGUAUUAACACCACAAAUCAAUGCAUAGUGAACCAACUAGCUGGGGGAAACUUUAUGAAGUUGUCGUAUGAUGAGGCAUGUGAUAUACUUGAUGAGAUGGCUGACACUUCUUCUGCAUGGCAAAGCAGAGCAAAUGUGCCCCAGGGUGACCCUACGGUUACUCAUUUGCACAAGGAAUUGCAUGACCAUGGGAAAGCUAUAGCGGAGUUGACAACUACUAUGAACCAAUUGGCUAAGGCAUAGUUACAACAAAUCCAAAACCCUCGCCAAGUGAAUUCCAUGGAGGGUGUCAAUAUGCUUGUCAACAAGAGAAGGCAAAGAAGGCAACAAAACCAAAGGAAUUCUGAGCAAUUUGAUGAUAAUUGUGGUGGAUUUCAAAAUGAUGGUUAUGAUGACCAAAGUGAAGAGGUUCAAUAUGUAAACAACUAUCAAGGCCAACGGGGCAACUCUUCCAACCAACAACAGUGGAGACCUCAAGGCAAUUGGGGCAAUCAACAACAAGAAAAUGGUAAUUGGGGGAACAACAACCAAAACAACAACUGGGGCAAUCAGAACCACAACCAGAACAAUCAAGGGAAUUGGAAUGGUAAUAACAACAAUUGGGGUGGCAAUAACAAUCAAGGUGGAUGGAACAAUGGAAACCAAGGAAAUCGGGGGCAAGGCUUUCAAAGGCCCCUAAUAUACCAACAACCGAACAAUCCACCCCCAUUUCCAUCUCAAGGUCCUAGUUCUUCUGGCAAUUAUAUGAGUAUAAUUGAAAUGAUGUUCGAGCAAAUGAUGAAGAAGAAUGCGGAUUCGGAUGCACAGUUGGCUUCCUACAAUACCUCUAUCAGAAAUUUGGAGGUACAGUUAGGCCAAAUCUCACAGUCUUUAAAUACUCGCCCUAAGGGUGCUCUAACAGGUGAUAUGGUAGUGAACCCAAAGGGUGGAAGCAACCAUGUUAUGGAGGUUACAACAAGAAGUGGGAGAGGCGGUGAUGUGAAUGCCUCCAAACAAAAGCAAAUCUUGGAUGAUGAUGUUGAGUUGCAAGAGGAUGAAGUCCCUUUGGUAGUUGAAGAUGUGGUUGAUGAAAAUAGGAAUAAAGAAGUGAAGAUUGAUAUUCAAGAUGUCGAGGUGGAAACUCAAAAUGACGUAAACCUAUCUAGGGAACACGUAAUAGAUAUGCCGGAACCGGUUGUGCCUAAAGCCAAGGCACCUUUGCCAAGGCCACAUCCACCUUAUCCUCAAAGGCCCGCGAAGCAAAAGAAUGAUAAUUUGUUUAAGAAGUUCAUUGACAUGAUGAAGAGCUUGUCCAUUAAUGUCCCUCUGGUGGAGGCUCUUGAACAAAUGCUGGGCUAUACAAAAUUCAUAAAAGAUUUGGUCACAAAGAAGCAUUCUAUGGAUUGUGAAACUAUAAAGAUAACUCACCAAGUUACUGUUAUAGUGCAUUCAAUGUCCCCAAAGCUUGAAGAUCCCGGUGCUUUCACCAUUCCUUGCACCAUUGGGAGUGCAGAUUUUUCCAAGGCUCUAUGUGAUUUAGGAGCUAGUAUCAAUUUGAUACCCUACUCAGUUUUCAAAACUUUGGGUAUUGGGCAACCUAGGCCGACUUCCAUGAGGUUACAAAUGGCGGAUAGAUCGAUAAAGAGACCCUUGGGUAUUAUUGGUGAUGUGCUUGUCCGGGUGGACAAAUUUAUCUUGCCAGCUGAUUUUGUGAUCUUGGACUGCGAGGUGGACUACGAAGUUCCUAUUAUAUUGGGUAGAUCUUUCCUAGCUACGGGGAAGGCAUUGGUAGAUGUGGAAGCAGGGGAACUCACCUUCUGGGUGGGUGAUGAAAUGGUGGUUUUUCAUGUGUGCAAAUCUAUGAAGCAGCCCAACAGUACUGAGGUGUGCUCUUUUGUUGACCUCGUCACAACAGUGAUAGUUGAUGACACCAGUGCAAUGAUCAAUGUGAAGGACCCAUUGGAGGCCGUAUUGUUGAAUCUUGAUGUCAAUGAGAAUGCAAGACGAGUGGAGUGCGUGAAUGCUUUACAUGGGAUGGGCUCUUAUUCUUACGAGCCUAGGAAAUUGUCUUUGGAUCUCGAGAAUAGAAAGACUCCACCAACUAAACCUUCAAUUGAGGAGCCUCCGGUGUUGAAGUUGAAACCGCUGCCUCUACACCUCAGAUAUGAGUUCUUAGGCUCAAAUUCUACUUUUCCAGUUAUUAUUUCUUCUUACCUUACUAACAUGUAGGUUGAUGCCACAUUGGCAGUGCUUUAAAAGCGGAAAAGGCAAUUGGAUGGACUUUAGCUGAUAUUCGGGGAAUAAUCCCCGCAUUCUGUAUGCAUAAGAUUAUUCUGGAAGAUGAUGAAAAGCCCUCCUUGGUGCAUCAAAGGAUGUUGAACAAGGCAAUGCAGGAAGUUGUGAACCGACAAUGGAGCUCCUAGACAGUUUUCUUGAGGGAUUAAAGUCUGACCAAAAAUACAAAAAAAAAA